rnacentral:lncRNA from 1 species
AUUAUUUUGAUUUUAAAAAAAUAGAGGUCGAACAACAGUGAUUCGACGUAGGUGUUAAUUAUCCACGAUCAUGAGAUCGUGGAGCAUAAUGAUCAUCCAUCAAUGAUUUAUUAUUUUAUUUUAAUGAUGAUAAUUAUCUAUUAAAUAUAAUAAUUUUUGUGUUCUAAAUUUUAAGGGAUAGAAGUUAUAUAGUAACGAUAUUUUCAUCGUAUACGAAGGAAGAUA